rnacentral:SRP_RNA from 1 species
GAUGACAUUCUGGUCUUGCGCAACGGAAUGCUUUGAACCGUGUCAGGUCCUGACGGAAGCAGCACUAAGGAGAUUUUUCCGUGUGCCGCAAGGUUGCCGGAAGGGAACUUCG